rnacentral:rRNA from 1 species
UACGUAGGGGGCGAGCGUUGUCCGGAUUUAUUGGGCGUAAAGAGCUCGUAGGCGGCUUGUCGCGUCGACUGUGAAAACUCGGGGCUCAACUCCGAGCUUGCAGUCGAUACGGGCAGGCUAGAGUUCGGUAGGGGAGACUGGAAUUCCUGGUGUAGCGGUGAAAUGCGCAGAUAUCAGGAGGAACACCGAUGGCGAAGGCAGGUCUCUGGGCCGAUACUGACGCUGAGGAGCGAAAGCGUGGGGAGCGAACAGG